GACUGCUGAACAACUGGAUAGAGUACUUGACUACGAAUCAAGCGGUUGAAGGUUCGAAUCCUUCCUCGGUCA
rnacentral:tRNA from 1 species